UACGUAGGGUGCAAGCGUUGUUCGGAAUUAUUGGGCGUAAAGAGCUCGUAGGCGGUUUGUCGCGUCGAAUGUGAAAACCCGGGGCUCAACCCCGGGCCUGCAUUCGAUACGGGCAGACUAGAGUUCGGUAGGGGAGUCUGGAAUUCCUGGUGUAGCGGUGAAAUGCGCAGAUAUCGGGAGGAACACCGGUGGCGAAGGCGGCGAUCUGGGUCGAUACUGACGCUGAGGUGCGAAAGCGUGGGGAGCAAACAGG
rnacentral:rRNA from 1 species